GACGAACGCUGGCGGCGUGCCUAAUACAUGCAAGUAGGACGCAGUUGCGAACGGGUGAGUAACGCGUCGGCAACUGCCUGUUAGAGGGGGAUAACUAUUGGAAACGAUAGCUAAUACCGCAUACUAGUAGGAGGACCUGGGUUGUAUUAGCUAGUAGGUAGGGUAAUGGCCUACCUAGGCGACGAUACAUAGCCGACCUGAGAGGGUGAACGGCCACAAUGGGACUGAGAAACGGCCCAGACUCCUACGGGAGGCAGCAGUAGGGAAUCUUCGGCAAUGGGGGUAACCCUGACCGAGCAACGCCGCGUGAGUGAAGAAGGUUUUCGGAUUGUAAAGCUCUGUUGUUAAGGAAGCGGUACUUAAACAGAAAGGGACGGCUAACUACGUGCCAGCAGCCGCGGUAAUAC
rnacentral:rRNA from 1 species